rnacentral:rRNA from 1 species
GACGAACGCUGGCGGCGUGCUUAACACAUGCAAGUCGAACGGAAAGGCCCUGCUUUUGUGGGGUGCUCGAGUGGCGAACGGGUGAGUAACACGUGAGUAACCUGCCCUUGACUUUGGGAUAACUUCAGGAAACUGGGGCUAAUACCGGAUAGGAGCUCCUGCUGCAUGGUGGGGGUUGGUAAGUUUCGGCGGUUGGGGAUGGACUCGCGGCUUAUCAGCUUGUUGGUGGGGUAGUGGCUUACCAAGGCUUUGACGGGUAGCCGGCCUGAGAGGGUGACCGGCCACAUGGGGACUGAGAUACGGCCCAGACUCCUACGGGAGGCAGCAGUGGGGAAUAUUGCACAAUGGGCGGAAGCCUGAGGCAGCAACGCCGCGUGCGGGAUGACGGCCUUCGGGUUGUAAACCGCUUUCGCCUGUGACGAAGCGUGAGUGACGGUAAUGGGUAAAGAAGCACCGGCUAACUACGUG